UCAUGGCAAUUUUGUUUACUAGGCUUGUCAAUGGCAUUAUGUCCAUUAAUGCUUAAUGCAAUUAUAACAAUGAUGCUAGCAAUAAAGACAUUUUCAAAGUGUUGCUCCACAAUUUGCAUGCACUACAAAUGUUGUCAUUGUGCAUUUCCAUCCAUUAGCAUAGAUUGCAGUUGAAAUUAACUAAAUAAUACUCUUAAUCCAUCAAGAAUAUUAAGAAUGACCUUCAAGCCAUAGCAUAUGCCUACCGCAAAGAAAUGACCUUCAAGGAUGUUGUUGACAAGUGCUCCAAUUUGUGAAUAGAAUUUCAUGUC
rnacentral:lncRNA from 1 species